GAUGAACGCUGGCGGCGUGCCUAAUACAUGCAAGUCGAGCGAACGGAGGAGAAGCUUGUUUCUCUGAUGUUAGCGGCGCACGGGAGAGUAACACGUGGAUAACCUCCCUAUAAGACUGGGAUAACUUCGGGAAACUGGAGCUAAUACCGGAUGAUAUUUUGAACCGUAUGGUUCAAUUGUGAAAGACGGUCUUGCUGUCACUGAUAGAUGGUUCCGGGCUGCAUCGGGUUGUUGGGUAGGUAACGCUUAACAACGGAAAUGGUGCAUAGCCGACCUGAGAGGGGAUUCGGCCACACUGGAACUGGAACACGGUCCAGACUCCGACGGAGGGCAGCAGUAGGGAACCUCCGGAAGAGGGCGAAGGCCUGACGGAGCAACGCCGGGUGGGUGAUGAGGGUCUUCGGAUGGUAAGACUCUGUUAUUAGGGAAGAACAUAUGUGUAAGUAACUGUGCACAUCUUGACGGUACCUGAUCAGAAAGCCACGGCUAACUACGUG
rnacentral:rRNA from 1 species